UUGAAACACCGAUUUCCCUCCGAUCAGCGAAGUUAAGCAACGUCGAGCCUGGCCAGUACCUAGACAGGUGACCACUUGGGAAAACCAGGUGCUGUAA